rnacentral:rRNA from 1 species
UUAAGCGACUAAGCGUACACGGUGGAUGCCCUGGCAGUCAGAGGCGAUGAAGGACGUGCUAAUCUGCGAUAAGCGUCGGUAAGGUGAUAUGAACCGUUAUAACCGGCGAUUUCCGAAUGGGGAAACCCAGUGUGAUUCGUCACACUAUCAUUAACUGAAUCCAUAGGUUAAUGAGGCGAACCGGGGGAACUGAAACAUCUAAGUACCCCGAGGAAAAGAAAUCAACCGAGAUUCCCCCAGUAGCGGCGAGCGAACGGGGAGGAGCCCAGAGCCUGAAUCAGUGUGUGUGUUAGUGGAAGCGUCUGGAAAGGCGCGCGAUACAGGGUGACAGCCCCGUACACAAAAAUGCACAUACUGUGAGCUCGAUGAGUAGGGCGGGACACGUGGUAUCCUGUCUGAAUAUGGGGGGACCAUCCUCCAAGGCUAAAUACUCCUGACUGACCGAUAGUGAACCAGUACCGUGAGGGAAAGGCGAAAAGAACCCCGGCGAGGGGAGUGAAAAAGAACCUGAAACCGUGUACGUACAAGCAGUGGGAGCCUCUUUUAUGGGGUGACUGCGUACCUUUUGUAUAAUGGGUCAGCGACUUAUAUUCUGUAGCAAGGUUAACCGAAUAGGGGAGCCGAAGGGAAACCGAGUCUUAACCGGGCGUUAAGUUGCAGGGUAUAGACCCGAAACCCGGUGAUCUAGCCAUGGGCAGGUUGAAGGUUGGGUAACACUAACUGGAGGACCGAACCGACUAAUGUUGAAAAAUUAGCGGAUGACUUGUGGCUGGGGGUGAAAGGCCAAUCAAACCGGGAGAUAGCUGGUUCUCCCCGAAAGCUAUUUAGGUAGCGCCUCGUGAAUUCAUCUCCGGGGGUAGAGCACUGUUUCGGCAAGGGGGUCAUCCCGACUUACCAACCCGAUGCAAACUGCGAAUACCGGAGAAUGUUAUCACGGGAGACAUACGGCGGGUGCUAACGUCCGUCGUGAAGAGGGAAACAACCCAGACCGCCAGCUAAGGUCCCAAAGUCAUGGUUAAGUGGGAAACGAUGUGGGAAGGCCCAGACAGCCAGGAUGUUGGCUUAGAAGCAGCCAUCAUUUAAAGAAAGCGUAAUAGCUCACUGGUCGAGUCGGCCUGCGCGGAAGAUGUAACGGGGCUAAACCAUGCACCGAAGCUGCGGCAGCGACACUGUGUGUUGUUGGGUAGGGGAGCGUUCUGUAAGCCUGUGAAGGUGUACUGUGAGGUAUGCUGGAGGUAUCAGAAGUGCGAAUGCUGACAUAAGUAACGAUAAAGCGGGUGAAAAGCCCGCUCGCCGGAAGACCAAGGGUUCCUGUCCAACGUUAAUCGGGGCAGGGUGAGUCGACCCCUAAGGCGAGGCCGAAAGGCGUAGUCGAUGGGAAACAGGUUAAUAUUCCUGUACUUGGUGUUACUGCGAAGGGGGGACGGAGAAGGCUAUGUUGGCCGGGCGACGGUUGUCCCGGUUUAAGCGUGUAGGCUGGUUUUCCAGGCAAAUCCGGAAAAUCAAGGCUGAGGCGUGAUGACGAGGCACUACGGUGCUGAAGCAACAAAUGCCCUGCUUCCAGGAAAAGCCUCUAAGCAUCAGGUAACAUCAAAUCGUACCCCAAACCGACACAGGUGGUCAGGUAGAGAAUACCAAGGCGCUUGAGAGAACUCGGGUGAAGGAACUAGGCAAAAUGGUGCCGUAACUUCGGGAGAAGGCACGCUGAUAUGUAGGUGAAGUCCCUCGCGGAUGGAGCUGAAAUCAGUCGAAGAUACCAGCUGGCUGCAACUGUUUAUUAAAAACACAGCACUGUGCAAACACGAAAGUGGACGUAUACGGUGUGACGCCUGCCCGGUGCCGGAAGGUUAAUUGAUGGGGUCAGCGCAAGCGAAGCUCUUGAUCGAAGCCCCGGUAAACGGCGGCCGUAACUAUAACGGUCCUAAGGUAGCGAAAUUCCUUGUCGGGUAAGUUCCGACCUGCACGAAUGGCGUAAUGAUGGCCAGGCUGUCUCCACCCGAGACUCAGUGAAAUUGAACUCGCUGUGAAGAUGCAGUGUACCCGCGGCAAGACGGAAAGACCCCGUGAACCUUUACUAUAGCUUGACACUGAACAUUGAGCCUUGAUGUGUAGGAUAGGUGGGAGGCUUUGAAGUGUGGACGCCAGUCUGCAUGGAGCCGACCUUGAAAUACCACCCUUUAAUGUUUGAUGUUCUAACGUGGACCCGUGAUCCGGGUUGCGGACAGUGUCUGGUGGGUAGUUUGACUGGGGCGGUCUCCUCCUAAAGAGUAACGGAGGAGCACGAAGGUUGGCUAAUCCUGGUCGGACAUCAGGAGGUUAGUGCAAUGGCAUAAGCCAGCUUGACUGCGAGCGUGACGGCGCGAGCAGGUGCGAAAGCAGGUCAUAGUGAUCCGGUGGUUCUGAAUGGAAGGGCCAUCGCUCAACGGAUAAAAGGUACUCCGGGGAUAACAGGCUGAUACCGCCCAAGAGUUCAUAUCGACGGCGGUGUUUGGCACCUCGAUGUCGGCUCAUCACAUCCUGGGGCUGAAGUAGGUCCCAAGGGUAUGGCUGUUCGCCAUUUAAAGUGGUACGCGAGCUGGGUUUAGAACGUCGUGAGACAGUUCGGUCCCUAUCUGCCGUGGGCGCUGGAGAACUGAGGGGGGCUGCUCCUAGUACGAGAGGACCGGAGUGGACGCAUCACUGGUGUUCGGGUUGUCAUGCCAAUGGCACUGCCCGGUAGCUAAAUGCGGAAGAGAUAAGUGCUGAAAGCAUCUAAGCACGAAACUUGCCCCGAGAUGAGUUCUCCCUGACCCUUUAAGGGUCCUGAAGGAACGUUGAAGACGACGACGUUGAUAGGCCGGGUGUGUAAGCGCAGCGAUGCGUUGAGCUAACCGGUACUAAUGAACCGUGAGGCUUAACCUU